CUGCCCCAUACCUAAUGAUAACAUCCCGCUAUGUUCCCUGUAUCUGGGCUUGGCCGUGUCUAGAGGCAAGAGGCCUUGGUGAGCUUACUUGGUUGCUCUGGUUUGAAGAACAGAGGGAUGUUAGCCUUCCAUGGGGAGGCUUCACAGGCUGAGUUCCUCAGAGGCCAGUGGUAAGACCAGAGCAAGGUCCAGGAACUGCGACACCUCAUUCGGAGCAGAAGAGAGGAGAAUAGAUCCCGACAUGCAUCUGCUUAGUGCAGAACUGCCAACGUCCAUGUCUCUCAGUGAAGGUGGUGGUUUCAUCACCAGCAGCAGCAGCUAGUCUUUGCUCCUCCAAAUGGCUCAUGCCAGCCCUGCCUCUGUCCACACAUACCGUAUCUUAGCUCAAUGUAUUCUGUGUUAGUGCUGUUUUCCUAUGCUUUUGUUUGCCUGUAGACUCUACUCUUUGUACUUGUACUAUUCAUCUUCCUUGACCUCCUUUUCUCCUUUGAACCCCACUUUCCUAAGAUCUGUGCUAUCAACACAGACCUUCAGAAGUAGAGAGGAUGGAAAUAGAACACGUACUUUGAUAAACAGAAGCAAUUAGACUUCCUUGGACGAUGCCACAUUCCUUUAAUGCACAUUCGGCUUAAUGCACAAUGGGAAAAUCAGAGCCUAUUGAGCAAUGGUGUUGCCUCUGGUUUAUUGCAGUUCAUUAAUAAACAUUGCAGCUGGA
rnacentral:lncRNA from 1 species